GACGAACGCUGGCGGCGUGCUUAACACAUGCAAGUCGAACGGUAACGCGGGGGCAACCCUGGCGACGAGUGGCGAACGGGUGAGUAAUACAUCGGAACGUACCCAGUAGUGGGGGAUAGCUCGGCGAAAGCCGGAUUAAUACCGCAUACGACCUAUGGGUGAAAGCGGGGGAUCGCAAGACCUCGCGCUAUUGGAGCGGCCGAUGUCGGAUUAGCUAGUUGGUGAGGUAAAGGCUCACCAAGGCACGAUCCGUAGCUGGUCUGAGAGGACGACCAGCCACACUGGGGACUGAGACACGGCCCAGACUCCUACGGGAGGCAGCAGUAAGGAUAUUCCACAAUGGGGAAACCCUGAUGGAGCGACGCCGCGUGCGCGAAGAAGCCCUUCGGGUGUAAAGCGCUUUUCUGCGGGGUGAGACAAGACAGUACCGCAGGAAUAAGCCUCGGCUAACUACGUGCCAGCAGCCG
rnacentral:rRNA from 1 species